rnacentral:rRNA from 1 species
UACGUAGGGGGCUAGCGUUGUCCGGAAUCAUUGGGCGUAAAGCGCGUGUAGGCGGUCCGGUAAGUCCGCUGUGAAAGUCGGGGGCUCAACCCUCGGAUGCCGGUGGAUACUGUCGGGCUUGAGUACGGAAGAGGCGAGUGGAAUUCCUGGUGUAGCGGUGAAAUGCGCAGAUAUCAGGAGGAACACCAAUUGCGAAGGCAGCUCGCUGGGACGUUACUGACGCUGAGACGCGAAAGCUAGGGGAGCGAACGGG